rnacentral:misc_RNA from 1 species
AACGCACCUUGCGCUCCGUGGCAUUCCGCGGAGCAUGCCUGUCUGAGUGUCGCGCUCCCCUCUCAACCACCUCACCCUCCACGGGGCGUGCGCUGGCUUGGAUCAUGGCUCCUCACCGACCGACGGCCCCCUUUUGGGGACUUGAGCGUCGCGAGCCGAAAUACAGCGCUUGGCGAUUACCGCCUUCGACGCAACCCGACGUUGUACUCCGUCCCUCGUUGGAACGCAUCGAAUGGAGGCCGCCGCGAAUUGAAAGGCUUCGGCCGACUUGACAAUGACCUCAGAUCAGGUAGGACUACCCGCUGAACUUAA